rnacentral:rRNA from 1 species
UCAAUAGCCUGACGGCUGAACCAGCAACUUGGAAGAAUGUAUAACGGAUUAAUCGUAUAAAAUUCUAGAUAGAAAACUGAUACUGACUACUAUCUAUCUAUUAGUCUUGACCAAAUUACGUGCCAGCAGUCGCGGCAAUACGCAGAAGACAAGUGUUAUUCAUCUUUAUUCGGUUUAAAGGGUACCUAGACGGUAAAUCAAGCCUUAGCAGGGACUAAUUUUCUAGAGUUUUAUGGGAGAAAGUGGAAUGUCUGGAGGAGAGAUAAAAUAUUGUUAUACUAGACGGACAGACAACGGUGUAGGCAACUUUCUAUGUAAAAACUGACGUUGAGGGACGAAGCCCUGGGUAGCAAGAAGGAUUAGAUACCCCAGUAGUCCAGGGAGACAAUGAUGAGUGCCAUAGGCUAGAUAAAUUAGUUUAUAAAUGAAAGUGCAAGCAUUCCACCUUGAGACUAAAGCGGCAACGCCCAAAUUGAAAUCAUUAGACCGUUCCUGAAACCAGUAGUGAAGUAUGUUAUUUAAUUCGAUGAUCCGCGAAUAACCUUACCACGUUUUGAAUACUUUUUGUAAAAGCAGGUCUGCUUUUAUCACCACAAAUUGUACAAGCGCUGCACGGCUGUCUUUAGUUAAUGUCGUGAGACUUUGGUUAACCCCUUUAAUUAACGAAAACCCUUGUUUUAUUUGUUUAUUUAAAACAGUUCUCCGCUAUAUAGGAUAAGAUAACAGGGAUUAAGGCAAGUCAUCAUGGCCUUGAUAGCGUGGGCUAUAGACGUGCCAUAUAUGCCUUUACAAAAGGAUGCGAUAUUGUGAAAUGGAGCU